GAGGGUGUAGCUCGAGGGGUAGAGCACAUGCCUAGAAUGUGUGAGGUCCUGGGUUCAAUCCCCAGUACCGCCA
rfam:Camelus ferus unplaced genomic scaffold scaffold559, whole genome shotgun sequence.